CAAGCGUUGUUCGGAAUUACUGGGCGUAAAGGGCUCGUAGGUGGCCAACUAAGUCAGACGUGAAAUCCCCAGGCUCAACUUGGGAACUGCGUCUGAUACUGGAUGGCUUGAAUUCGGGAGAGGGAUGCAGAAUUCCAGGUGUAGCGGUGAAAUGCGUAGAUAUCUGGAGGAAUACCGGUGGCGAAGGCGGCAUCCUGGACCGAGAUUGACACUGAUGAGCGAAAGCCAGGGGAGCAAACGGG
rnacentral:rRNA from 1 species